rnacentral:rRNA from 1 species
UACAGAGGGUGCGAGCGUUGUUCGGAAUUAUUGGGCGUAAAGGGCGCGUAGGCGGUGCCACAAGUCACUUGUGAAAUCUCCGGGCUUAACUCGGAGCCUGCAGGCGAAACUGUGGUGCUGGAGUGUGGGAGAGGUGCGUGGAAUUCCCGGUGUAGCGGUGAAAUGACGUAGAUAUCGGGAGGAACACCUGUGGCGAAAGCGGCGCACUGGACCAUAACUGACGCUGAGGCGCGAAAGCUAGGGGAGCAAACAGG